rnacentral:rRNA from 1 species
CCCGCUGAACUUAAGCAUAUCAAUAAGCGGAGGAAAAGAAACUAACAGGGAUUGCCCUAGUAACUGCGAGUGAAGCGGCAACAGCUCAAAUUUGAAAUCUGGCGCCUCCGGCGUCCGAGUUGUAUUCUGGAGAAGAGGCUUCCGGGCUGGAUCCUGUCCAAGUCCCUUGGAACAGGGCGUCAUAGAGGGUGAGAAUCCCGUCCGUGACUCGGACGGUCCGCUCUCUUCAAGCUCUUUCCACAAAUCCGAGUUGUUUGGAAUGCAGCUCAAAAACGGGUGGUAAAUUCCAUCUAUAGCUAAAUAUUGGCCAGAGACCGACAGCGAACCAGUACGCUGGAUGAAAGAAGAAAAGCGCUUUCGAAAAAGAGAGAAACAGUACGUGGAAUUGGUGAAAGGGAAACGCCUGUAGUCAGCCGCGUCACCGAGAACUCAGUCUGGCUUCUCCUCUGUGCACUUGCCAGGUGCACAGGUCAGCAUCGGUUUCAGUGGGGCAGACAAAGGCCGAGGGAAGGUGUCUGCUCCGGCGGUGUUAUAGCCCUCCGUUCUACGCGUCCCCCGGGACAGCGGAAUCCGGCGUAAGCCUGGGAUGCUGGCGUAAUGGCUGUAAGCGACCCGUCUUGAAACACGG